AGUUACUGACAAUGAUAAGUUACAGUUUACGGUCAAGGCAAAAUUCUAGCUCUGGGCUUGUCAACUGGAUCAAUAUGAGCUGAGUUAACAGUAGUAGAGAACUGUUUCACGCAGCUGUUGUGAACUGCUGCCUGAUUUAUUCACCUGAUUCUGCUCUGGGGUUGCCCAGGGUGGAAAAGCCAAAGGUGGAGCCCACAUCAGAAGAUUUCUGUACAGUUUCUUUGAGUGUGGCUUCUUUCACUUGGCGUAAUACAUCUGAGAUCAUCUGUGAUGCCUGAAUAGCUGUUCAUUCCUUUUUCCUGCUGAGUAGUAUUCCAUGAUGAGGCACCUGCUGCUCAAAGAAGUGAAGAAACUUGCUCGAGAUCACGAAGUCAUCAAGUGGAGGAGUUGUAUUUGCACUUAGAUGGUCUCACCCUCCAGUCUUAAACAUUAUUCUGUGUUACCUCCCAAGAAGAGGGGUAUUCCCCACGUGGCUCUGCUGUUAAAGAUAGGAUGAGGUCUCUGGGAAGGAGAUGACCUCCUGAGGGCCAAGCAUGUGAAGAAAGAGGAAGUGGCGGAGGAGCAAGAAGGAGAAGAUAUGGCUAUCAGUUCAGGAAGUGCUCUCUGGUCUAUUCCCACGAGGUAGAUGCUGUGAUGGUCUUCCCAUCAGCCGUGCUGGGAAAGAACUGAUUUGGAAAUGCUUAAAAUACAGUACAUUUGAUGUAGAGGUAAGAGGUAAGAAUUUUGUUACAUUUAAAAUCUGCAUCAUAGAUUCCUUG
rnacentral:lncRNA from 1 species